rnacentral:sRNA from 1 species
UUUAAAAGAUAAAACUUCACAUGCAAACGGUUGUUUGAACUAUUUAUAUAUAAAAAAAAGUGAACAAUUCUUUUUGAGUUGUGUUGUCUCAAGAAUCAAGUGUUUUCUAAAUUUUACUAUUACACAAACCAUAUCUAUCCUCCUUAUUCUUUCCGUACAACUUCAGAUGUUUUGUUUUUGUCAAACCAUUCUCUAUCUAGCGGUGAGAGAGAAAAAAGAUUUCCAAUUUUUUGGUCUCUUGAAUCGUAAAACUCUUAUGCGUUUGUUAAAAUAAGGGAUGUCUACUAAGAAUAUUUUCUAAAUAACAUCUAAACAAAAAAAAAAUAGUUUUUUAAAGUUCAAAACU